rnacentral:piRNA from 1 species
AAUGGGGCGAAGCUACC